CAAUAGCGUAUAUUAAAGUUGUUGCAGUUAAAAAGCUCGUAGUUGGAUUUCUGGUUGAAGCGACCGGUCGGGCGUUGAUUCGUCUGCACUGGAGUCGGUUUUGGCCAUCCUCUAGGAAAGUGCGUCUGGUAUUAAGUUAUCGGGCGUAUGAUCCUGGUCUUUUACUGUGAAAAAAUUAGAGUGUUUAAAGCAGGCCUUCGCCUUGAAUACAUUAGCAUGGAAUAAUAAGAUAGGACUUUGGUCUAUUUUGUUGGUUUGCAGACCGAAGUAAUGAUUAAUAGGGAUAGUUGGGGGUAUUUAUAUUCCGAUGUCAGAGGUGAAAUUCUUAGAUUUUCGGAAGAUAAGCUUAUGCGAAAGCAUUUACCAAGGAUGUUUUCAUUAA
rnacentral:rRNA from 1 species